rnacentral:lncRNA from 1 species
GCUGGGAUAGAGGAGGACUCAGGUCCCGACUCGACUCGGUCCUCCACCCGCUCCGGGGAUACCUCUAGUUCUCCCCGGCCGCCGCCGCCCCGCUGCUUCCUCCUCUGCCCUCCCGCCGGCCUCCUUCGGGCGUCCUAACCCGCCUUGGGACUCUGCUUUUCUCGGUAGCCUCCACCCAGGCGCAUGGCUCCAUGAAGCAGGAGGAAGAGAAGGCAGAGCGCGAGAGGUCCCGUCUGCCCCGGCCGCGUCUGGGUCAGGAGAGAAGGUAUUGGAAGAAGGGAUGGAAUUGGAAGAAAGAAGAUUCAUUCCAGAGACAAAAUAGCUCCCCUCUCCUAUUGUAGCUGUUUCCUCUGGGACUAUAAACUUUCUGCUUUCAGGUUCUGCAGCAUCCCAGAUCACAAACACCAGAUCAGGAUGGGAAAAAGACGUUGUGUUCCUCCCCUUGAGCCCAAGUUGGCAGCAGGCUGUUGUGGGGUCAAGAAGCCCAAAUUAUCUGGAAGUGGAACA